rnacentral:lncRNA from 1 species
AUCGCCUAUAAAUAUUCAGGGCCAUAAAAUACGACCUAAAGAACAAUAGUCACAGCUCCGCCAUGAUUAUUCUUCUUUUUUUGUAUUUUUCGGCCAAAAAACUAGAAUUCCGCCCCAUUCCCAUAUUUUCGUCUGCUAUAGCCCGCGCAUUCAGACUGGUCCCGGGCCCCACGGAUCCCGAUCGACUAAAAUUUUUCCGUACCAUAAAAGAAGACUUAAGGAACCAUAGUCACCGCCCCGCCUUGAUCGUUCCUCAUAUUUGGCAUUUUGUGGCCAAAAAACUAGAAUUCCGCCUUCCGAGUGGGCCGAACCCCCCGGACUCGGAUCGCCUAAAAACUUUUCGAGCAAUCAAAUACGUCCUAAGGAACCAUAGUCACCGUCCCGUCAUGAUCGUUCCUCAUUCUUUGCAUUUUACGGCCAAAGAACUAGAAUUCCACCCGAUUCCCAUAUUUUUGUUUGCAAUAGCCCACG